CCUACGGGUGGCAGCAGUGAGGAAUAUUGGUCAAUGGGCGGGAGCCUGAACCAGCCAAGUCGCGUGAGGGAUGAAGGUUCUAUGGAUCGUAAACCUCUUUUAUCAGGGAAUAAAGUGUGGGACGUGUCCUAUUUUGUAUGUACCUUAUGAAUAAGGAUCGGCUAACUCCGUGCCAGCAGCCGCGGUAAUACGGAGGAUCCGAGCGUUAUCCGGAUUUAUUGGGUUUAAAGGGUGCGUAGGCGGGCUUUUAAGUCAGCGGUGAAAGUCUGUGGCUCAACCCUCGACCUGCCGUUGAAACUGGGGGGCUUGAGUAUGUUUGAGGCAUGCGGAAGGCGUGGUGUAGCGGUGAAAUGCAUAGAUAUCACGCAGAACCCCGAUUGCGAAGGCAGCAUGCC
rnacentral:rRNA from 1 species